UUCUCUCGCUAUAGGGUCUUGGUCGUNACUUGCUAGUAACCCCNANUUUUUUAUUAGGUNGACCUCGGAUCAGGUAGGGAUACCCGCUGAACUUAAGCAUAUCAAUAAGCGGAGGAAAAGAAACCANCAGGGAUUNCCUCAGUAACGGCGAGUGAAGCGGUAACAGCUCAAAUUUGAANUCUCCCUUCCGGGCGAGUUGUAAUUUGUAGAAGAUGCUUUGGGUAUGGCCCCGGUCUAAGUCCGUUGGAACACGGCGUCAUAGAGGGUGAGAAUCCCGUAUGUGACUGGGUGCUUUUGCCUAUGUAAAGCUCUUUCGACGAGUCGAGUUGUUUGGGAAUGCAGCUCAAAAUGGGUGGUAUAUUUCAUCUAAAGCUAAAUAUUGGCCAGAGACCGAUAGCGCACAAGUAGAGUGAUCGAAAGAUGAAAAGCACUUUGGAAAGAGAGUUAAACAGUGCGUGAAAUUGUUGAAAGGGAAGCGCUUGCAACCAGACUUGCACGCUGUUGAUCAUCCAGGCUUCUGUUUGGUGCACUCGACUGCGUUCAGGCCAGCAUCGGUUUUGGUGGUUGGAUAAAGGCCUUGGGAAUGUAGCUUCUUUCGGGGAGUGUUAUAGCCCUCGGUGCAAUGCAGCCUACCGGGACCGAGGACCGCGCUUCGGCUAGGAUGCUGGCGUAAUGGUUGUAAGCGACC
rnacentral:rRNA from 1 species